GACGAACGCUGGCGGCGUGCUUAACACAUGCAAGUCGAACGGAAAGACCCUGCUUUUGUGGGGUGCUCGAGUGGCGAACGGGUGAGUAACACGUGAGUAACCUGCCCUUGACUUUGGGAUAACUUCAGGAAACUGGGGCUAAUACCGGAUAGGAGCUCCUGCUGCAUGGUGGGGGUCGGAAAGUUUCGGAGGUUGGGGAUGGACUCGCGGCUUAUCAGCUUGUUGGUUGGGUAGUGGCUUACCCAGGCUUUGACGGGUAGCCGGCCUGAGAGGGUGACCGGCCACAUUGGGACUGAGAUACGGCCCAGACUCCUACGGGAGGCAGCAGUGGGGAAUAUUGCACAAUGGGCGGAAGCCUGAUGCAGCAACGCCGCGUGCGGGAUGACGGCCUUCGGGUUGUAAACCGCUUUCGCCUGUGACGAAGCGUGAGUGACGGUAAUGGGUAAAGAAGCACCGGCUAACUACGUG
rnacentral:rRNA from 1 species